rnacentral:rRNA from 1 species
UACGGGGGGAGCAAGCGUUGUUCGGAUUUACUGGGCGUAAAGGGCGCGUAGGCGGCCAGCACACGUCAGUUGUGAAAUCUCCGGGCUUAACUCGGAAAGGUCAACUGAUACUGUGCGGCUAGAGUGCAGAAGGGGCAACUGGAAUUCUCGGUGUAGCGGUGAGAUGCGUAGAUAUCGAGAGGAACACCUGCGGCGAAGGCGGGUUGCUGGGCUGACACUGACGCUGAUGCGCGAAAGCCAGGGGAGCGAACGGG